AGCUUCCGGAGCAGCUGGGACUGCUGGCGCCCGCCACUACGCUCGGCUAAUUUUUUUGUGUUUUUAGUAGAGACGGGCUUUCACCGUGUUGGCCUAGCGGUUCUCCAACUCCUGACCUCAUGAUCCCCCCGCCUCAGCCUCCCAAAGUGCUGGGAUUACAAGCGUGAGCCACCGCGACCCGCCAACACUCUUGACAACAGUGCUGUGCUAAGAACUUGGGGGACUUCAAAAAGUUCACCAGUUCCUGUGUCCAUGGGUGAAAAGAUUUUCUACAUCUUUCCUUGACUAGAAACAGAAGUCCUGAAACAAGGUACACCUUCUUGAGGCUUACUUGAAUAUAACGUCAGGAGGCCAGAGGCUUUGUCCUGCCUAAUGUGUUAUUUCCACACUGAAUAAAAGCACCUGAGUCCUGGUUCUGGAGAUUGGGGCAUGAUAUCUUCCUUGGGCCAUUACUUGUCCUGCCACUUGGAAUAGGUGCUUAUAAGCCACCUCUAAGAUAAUGAAUAACUUGCAAUUUGAUCCGUGAUUUACAUAACGUGUAUGUUUUUCCUGUUUGCAAAGGCAUAUGGCAAGGGAGUAAAGCCAAACUUUUUACCACAUGGCAAAAAUAAUUGUAUUUUGCAACAGACUAAAAGCUUAAUGCUAUACAGACUUUGGGUUGGUGGAGUUACUUGAGGAUUUACUCCAGCAA
rnacentral:lncRNA from 1 species